GGACGCUUAGCUCAGUGGUAGAGCACUUCCUUCACACGGAAGGGGUCGCAGGUUCGAACCCUGCAGCGUCUACCA
rnacentral:tRNA from 1 species